rnacentral:rRNA from 1 species
AUUGAACGCUGGCGGCAGGCCUAACACAUGCAAGUCGAGCGGUAGAGAGGUGCUUGCAUCUCUUGAGAGCGGCGGACGGGUGAGUAAUGCCUAGGAAUCUGCCUAGUGGUGGGGGAUAACGUUCGGAAACGGACGCUAAUACCGCAUACGUCCUACGGGAGAAAGCGGGGGAUCUUCGGACCUCGCGCCAUUAGAUGAGCCUAGGUCGGAUUAGCUAGUUGGUGAGGUAAUGGCUCACCAAGGCGACGAUCCGUAACUGGUCUGAGAGGAUGAUCAGUCACACUGGAACUGAGACACGGUCCAGACUCCUACGGGAGCAGCAGGUGGGAAUAUUGGAACAAUGGGACGAAAGCCUGAUCCAGCCAUGCCGCGUGUGUGAAGAAGGUCUUCGGAUUAGUAAGCAUUAAGUGGAGGAGGUAGUAACUAAUACGUGCUAC